CUGCGGGGAGGGGCGGGACUUCCUGCGCGCGGGCCCGAGGGGCUCGGUUGCCCGGCUCCGUGGUCCCCGGCUAGGCGGCGGCGGCGGCGGCGGCGGCAGCAGCGUCUCCUCCGUGGGGAGGCGCGCAGGGCCAUGACGUCAGCGUCCACAAAGGUCGGAGAGAUCUUCUCCGCGGCGGGCGCCGCCUUCACGAAGCUCGGGGAGCUGACGAUGCAGCUGCAUCCCGUGGCCGACUCUUCCCCCGCGGGUGCCAAGUGGACGGAGACGGAGAUAGAGAUGCUGAGGGCUGCGGUGAAGCGGUUUGGGGACGAUCUUAAUCACAUCAGCUGUGUCAUCAAGGAACGGACAGUGGCCCAGAUAAAGGCCACCGUGAAGCGCAAAGUAUACGAAGACUCUGGCAUCCCCCUUCCAGCUGAGUCGCCCAAGAAAGGGCCCAAGAAGAUGCCAUCUGGUGUCCUGUCCCCUCCUCCAGCUGCACCUCCGCCAGGCAGCUCCAGUGUCGCUGAGGCCGGGGGUCCCCCCAUAAAGAAACAGAAGGCUGAUGUGACACUCAGUGCUCUGAACGACUCGGACGCCAACAGUGACCUGGUGGAUAUCGAAGGGCUGGGAGAAACUCCUCCGGCCAAGAAACUGAACUUCGACUCCUCCUCCCACUCCCACACCAGCUGAAGUGGUGGGGAGGGUCUCCGCAGGAGCCCCCUCCCUUGUACGGAGACUUGGGAAGGGAAGGUUCCCCGGUACACCGUGCAGGGGAUCGGCCUGACCCUGGAUUCUGGCCUCCUCAUGACCUCUGCUGACCCUCCUCCGCUCUCUCGCUGAGCUUCCUGCCUCUGACCCCUCUCACUGUUCCCCCUGGACCUGUGGAUCGCCCAGGACUCCGAGCAGGCCUGCUGAAGAGAAGGUCAAGAGGCUGCUGGGUCCGCACACCUCACCGUUCCUGUAUGCGCAUCUGCCCCCAAGCCCUCUGACCUCCAUCUGAUGGACUUUUUUAUACAGAAAACAAUAAAGAUUGCCCUCUCCUCCC